ACUUGCCUGUGGAUGAGCCAGGGUAAGAAGAGCUCAGCUCCAUGUCUGGCUCCACAUCCCUGCAGCUCGCUGUCUUCCCUUGGUGGGACAAAACUCUCUGGGUGCCUGAGUAAGGAAGCUCAGUAUUAGAGCCGACACAUGGAACAUCUCUAGGAACCAGUCAAGUAAGCAGGAAAUGCAGAUGCCAGGUGUUUCAAGGAUUUACUUGUGAGCUCAGGGUGUCAGACCACACCUGAGGGUGACUCAGAGCUGGAGGAAGAGGACAAGCGAAGCAGUGCUGUAGUUCUGAGAAGCCAGCUGCCUGUUUGACCCUGAGAGAAGCAUCUUGACCCCGGAAGUGAAGUAGUUAUCUGAAUGCAGACAGUCUGCCUGCCUGCCACAGGUCGUUCCAACUUCCCCGCUCCACCCAACUGACCUCAGGACAGAGGACUGGUAAGCAUGGAAGAUGUGAAGUUGGGCAUUGUCCAGCCGCAGCUACGCUCAAGUGCACUUUUUGUCUGCUUGGUUUUUUGGUCUCUAGAAACUUCUCCUAUAGCCCAGCCUAGCCUUGAACUAGGUUGAGAAUGUCCUUGAACUCCCGAUCUUCCUGCUCCCCUUGGGGUGGCAUAACUGUAAUGGUCUGUCCUGUAGCCCCGCCUACUCCCAUCCAUUUCCCCCUCCUACUCACCACCCACCCUUACUCCCAGUUUACUGAGGCAGGCAGAUCUUCCUUCUGUUGGCAGUCUGAGCUCCUUCCUUUCCCUCUCUCCCGAAGAGGCAGCUUCUGCCUCUCUCCCUUCUCCCCACUUCUCCCCUUCCCCCAUCUCUCUCUCUGCUCUUCUUCUUCUUUCUCUCCUUCCCCUCUUUCCCUUUCCCCUCCAUAACCCACUAAAUAAAUAUCCAACCUCACUCUG